CAGUAGCCGCGGGAAUGCGAAGGGUGCAAGCGUUACUCGGAAUUACUGGGCGUAAAGCGUGCGUAGGUGGUGGUUUAAGUCCGUUGUGAAAGCCCUGGGCUCAACCUGGGAAUUGCAGUGGAUACUGGAUCACUAGAGUGUGGUAGAGGAUAGUGGAAUUUCCGGUGUAGCAGUGAAAUGCGUAGAGAUCGGAAGGAACAUCUGUGGCGAAGGCGGCCAUCUGGGACAACACUGACGCUGAGGCACGAAAGCGUGGGGAGCAAACAGGAUUAGAUACCACUGUAGUCCCUGUCUCUUAUAC
rnacentral:rRNA from 1 species